rnacentral:rRNA from 1 species
UACGUAGGGUGCGAGCGUUGUCCGGAAUUAUUGGGCGUAAAGAGCUCGUAGGCGGUGUGUCGCGUCGGCCGUGAAAACUUGCAGCUUUACUGUGGGCGUGCGGUCGAUACGGGCAUCACUGGAGUUCGGCAGGGGAGACUGGAAUUCCUGGUGUAGCGGUGAAAUGCGCAGAUAUCAGGAAGAACACCGACGGCGAAGGCAGCUCGCUGGGACGGUACCGACGCUGAGGCGCGAAAGCGUGGGGAGCAAACAGG